AUUGAACGCUGGCGGCAUGCUUUACACAUGCAAGUCGAACGGCAGCGGGGUAGUGCUUGCACUACUGUCCGGCGAGUGGCGAACGGGUGAGUAAUAUAUCGGAACGUACCGAGUAAUGGGGGAUAACCAAUCGAAAGAUUGGCUAAUACCGCAUACGUCCUGAGGGAGAAAGCGGGGGAUCGCAAGACCUCGCGUUAUUCGAGCGGCCGAUAACUGAUUAGCUAGUUGGUGGGGUAAAGGCCUACCAAGGCGACGAUCAGUAGCGGGUCUGAGAGGACGAUCCGCCACACUGGGACUGAGACACGGCCCAGACUCCUACGGGAGGCAGCAGUGGGGAAUUUUGGACAAUGGGGGCAACCCUGAUCCAGCCAUGCCGCGUGUAUGAAGAAGGCCUUCGGGUUGUAAAGUACUUUUGUUAGGGAAGAAAAGGGAAGUGCUAAUACCACUUUUUGCUGAACGGUACCUAAAGAAUAAG
rnacentral:rRNA from 1 species